UUUAUUUAAUCUAUAGGAUAAAUAAAACUUAUCUUAAGUAAUUUAUUUUUUUUCUUUUUAUUUUAGUAAUAUAUGUUGGAUUUAUUUGAUAUCUUACUUAUUUAAUUGGUCAAGUAUUAGGUUCAAGUUCAAUUCAAUAUUUGCAAAUAUGAACAAGUAAUUCUUUUAAAUCUUCAUAAUUCCAUGCAAAAGUAUUAUUAUAUAUUUUUUAAUAAUUUUAUUAAUUAUUUCUUAUAAUUCUCAUUAUUUUAUUGUCCUAUCUUCAUUGUUUUUGGUUGAGCUUCAAUUUCCAGAUUUACUUCAUCUUCUUGAUCCUUUUUCUUGAUUGUCUAACUUCUAAUGGAUUUCUCCUUAACUCCUACUAUAGCUAGAAUUGCAUCUAAUUUACUAGCUCCCAUCCUUGAU
rnacentral:lncRNA from 1 species